rnacentral:rRNA from 1 species
AGAGUUUGAUCCUGGCUCAGAAUGAACGCUGGCGGCGUGCUUUACACAUGCAAGUCGAGCGAGGCGUGUAGCAAUACACAGUCGAGCGGCGAACGGGUGAGUAACGCGUGGAUGACCUGCCCUUUAGUGGGGAAUAACCCGGGGAAACUCGGGCUAAUACCGCAUAAGACCGAGAGGUGAGAGCGGGGUCGCAAGAUCUCGUGCUAAUGGAGGGGUCCGCGUUCGAUUAGCUAGUUGGUAGGGUAAUGGCCUACCAAGGCGACGAUCGAUAGCCGGCCUGAGAGGGUGAUCGGCCACACUGGAACUGAGGCACGGUCCAGACUCCUACGGGAGGCAGCAGUGGGGAAUUUUGCGCAAUGGGCAAACGCCUGACGCAGCAACGCCGCGUGGAGGAUGAAGGUCUUUGGAUUGUAAACUCCUGUCAGCAGGGAAAAAGGGAUAGGGCCUAAUACGUCUUAAACUUGAUUGUACCUGCAGAGGAAGCCCCGGCUAACUCUGUGCCAGCAGCCGCGGUAAUACAGAGGGGGCAAGCGUUAUUCGGAAUUAUUGGGCGUAAAGGGCGCGUAGGCGGCUUUUCAAGUGACGGGUGAAAUCCCUCGGCUUAACCGAGGAACUGCCUGUCAGACUGGAAGGCUUGAGACCGGGAGAGGUGAGUGGAAUUCCCAGUGUAGCGGUGAAAUGCGUAGAUAUUGGGAGGAACACCAGUGGCGAAGGCGGCUCACUGGACCGGAACUGACGCUGAGGCGCGAAAGCGUGGGGAGCAAACAGGAUUAGAUACCCUGGUAGUCCACGCCGUAAACGAUGAGUGCUUGGUGUAGCGGGUAUCGACCCCUGCUGUGCCGAAGUCAACACAUUAAGCACUCCGCCUGGGGAGUACGGUCGCAAGACUGAAACUCAAAGGAAUUGACGGGGGCCCGCACAAGCGGUGGAGCAUGUGGUCUAAUUCGAAGCAACGCGCAGAACCUUACCUGGGUUUGAACUGUACAGGCAAGUCUCAGAGAUGAGAGCCCCUCUUCGGAGGACUGUAUAGAGGUGCUGCAUGGCUGUCGUCAGCUCGUGUCGUGAGGU